CCCUGUGUCCCCAUGUCCCUGUGUCCCCAUGACCCCCACAUCCUCAUGUCCCUGUGUCCCCAUGUCCCCAUGUCCCCAUGACCCUGUGUCCCCAUGUCCCCGUGUCCCCAUGACCCCCACAUCCUCAUGUCCCGAUGUCUCCGCAUCCCUGUGUCCCCAUGUCCCCAUGUCCGCACAUCCCUGUGUCCCCAUGUCCCCCAUCCCCACGUCCCCAUGUCCCUGUGUCUCCACAUCCCUGUGUCCCCACAUCCCUGUGUUCCCACGUCCCAUGUCUCAUGUCCCCAUGUCCCUGCAUCCCCAUAUCCUCGUGUCCCCAUAUCCCUGUGUCCCCGUGUCCCUAUGUCCCAUGUCUCACGUCCUUGUAUCCCUGUGUCCCCC
rnacentral:lncRNA from 1 species